AUUGAACGCUGGCGGAAUGCUUUACACAUGCAAGUCGAACGGCAGCACGGACUUCGGUCUGGUGGCGAGUGGCGAACGGGUGAGUAAUAUAUCGGAACGUGCCCAGUCGUGGGGGAUAACGUAGUGAAAAUUACGCUAAUACCGCAUACGAUCUACGGAUGAAAGCGGGGGAUCGCAAGACCUCGCGCGAUUGGAGCGGCCGAUAUCAGAUUAGGUAGUUGGUGAGGUAAAAGCUCACCAAGCCAACGAUCUGUAGCUGGUCUGAGAGGACGACCAGCCACACUGGAGCUGAGACACGGCCCAGACUCCUACGGAGGCAGCAGUGGGGAAUUUUGGACAAUGGGCGCAAGCCUGAUCCAGCAAUGCCGCGUG
rnacentral:rRNA from 1 species